AGUUGCCAUGGUUGUUUAUCCAUGAUGUCAACUAUCAUACCAUAUAUUAUAGCCUACAUUCAUUCAUCCAUCCAUUCAUUUACUCAUUCAUCACCAUGUUCUACUCUCUCUCCUAGGUCACGAUUCCGGCUCUCUACCUACUGUCAUAAUCUAAGUUUUCAGCGCUCUCCUGACCAAGGUGCAUCUAUCAAUCAAAUCAUAACGCUCUGCUGUGUCUCUGCUCUCAGCGCAUCCGCGCCAUGUCUUCUCGCAUAGCCUAAGAUGGUGUCUCCUUGUAAGCGGUAGUUAAGCCGAAUUUGAAGCCACCACCACCCCUCCGUCCACCGUCACCAGUGGUUCCCGUCUGUUAGGGGGCAGGCUACGCCCGCCUCCAUCUCCGCUGGAGGAUAUGCUGUCCUACCCCGGAGUUCAACGCGAAGACGGGAACCUUCGCCAAACAGAUUCAUGCAUUUUGUAUCAAGUGUAAUUGUUCGCCAAACGGAUUCAUGCAUUUUUGUAUCAUGUCUAUUGUUCAAUAAAUGUUAAUAACGUUCA